rnacentral:rRNA from 1 species
CCUACGGGAGGCAGCAGUGAGGAAUAUUGGACAAUGGAGGCAACUCUGAUCCAGCCAUGCCGCGUGCAGGAAGACUGCCCUAUGGGUUGUAAACUGCUUUUAUACAGGAAGAAACACCUCUACGUGUAGAGAUUCGACGGUACUGUAAGAAUAAGGAUCGGCUAACUCCGUGCCAGCAGCCGCGGUAAU